rnacentral:rRNA from 1 species
GAUCGGCCCGCGUCUGAUUAGCUUGUUGGUGAGGUAACGGCUCACCAAGGCGACGAUCAGUAGCUGGUCUGAGAGGAUGAUCAGCCUCACUGGGACUGAGACACGGCCCACACUCCUACGGGAGGCAGCAGUGGGGAAUAUUGGACAAUGGGCGCAAGCCUGAUCCAGCCAUGCCGCGUGGGUGAUGAAGGCCCUAGGGUUGUAAAGCCCUUUCGGCGGGGAAGAUAAUGACGGUACCCGCAGAAGAAGCCCCGGCUAACUUCGUGCCAGCAGCCGCGGUAAUACGAAGGGGGCUAGCGUUGCUCGGAAUCACUGGGCGUAAAGCGCACGUAGGCGGCUUUUUAAGUCAGGGGUGAAAUCCUGGAGCUCAACUCCAGAACUGCCCUUGAUACUGGGAAGCUUGAGUCCCGGAGAGGUGAGUGGAACUGCGAGUGUAGAAGUGAAAAUCGUAUAUAUUCCCAAGAACACCAGUGGCGAAAGCGGCUCACUGGCCCGGUACUGACGCUUAAGUGCGAAAAGCGGGGGAGCAAACAAGAUUAGAUUCCCUGGUAGUCACCCCCGUAAAAGAUGGAAGCUUGCCCGUUGUCGGGUUACUUCGUCAGUGGCGCCACUUAAGCAUUUAACCUCCCGGCUGGGGAGU